UAGCCACGGUAAUACCCGCUCCCCGAGUGGUGGAGACUUUUACUGGGCCUAAAGCGCCCGUAGCCGGCCCUGUGUGUCCCUCGUUAAAUCCGCAGGCCCAACCUGCGGGCUGCGGGGGGGUACUACAGGGCUUUGGGGGUGGGGAGAGGCGCUCGGUAUUCCCGGGGUAGGGGGUAAAAAUCCUCUGAUCCCCGGGAGGACCACCAGUGGCGAAGGC
rnacentral:rRNA from 1 species